rnacentral:rRNA from 1 species
AAUAGAUACCCGGGUAGUCCACGCCGUAAAACGAUUGAGUGCUAAGUGUUAGAGGGUUUCCGCCCUUUAGUGCUGCAGCUAACGCAUUAAGCACUCCGCCUGGGGAGUACGGCCGCAAGGCUGAAACUCAAAGGAAUUGACGGGGGCCCGCACAAGCGGUGGAGCAUGUGGUUUAAUUCGAAGCAACGCGAAGAACCUUACCAGGUCUUGACAUCCUCUGCCAACCCUAGAGAUAGGGCGUUCCCCUUCGGGGGACAGAGUGACAGGUGGUGCAUGGUUGUCGUCAGCUCGUGUCGUGAGAUGUUGGGUUAAGUCCCGCAACGAGCGCAACCCUUGAUCUUAGUUGCCAGCAUUCAGUUGGGCACUCUAAGGUGACUGCCGGUGACAAACCGGAGGAAGGUGGGGAUGGACGUCAAAUCAUCAUGCCCCUUAUGACCUGGGCUACACACGUGCUACAAUGGAUGGUACAAAGAGCUGCGAACCCGCGAGGGUAAGCGAAUCUCAUAAAGCCAUUCUCAGUUCGGA